rnacentral:lncRNA from 1 species
GCAAGCAUGGCCUGCAGGACGCGGCUGCUGUCCCGGAGCGCGGUCUCCAGCUCGGCAUGGCUGCGGUUGGCCAGGUUCUCCUCCAUCUCGCUGGUGCAGCAGGUGUAGCCCUGGGGACAGAUCCGCAGGUGCUCACCUGUGGGGAAAGGCCAGUGUGAGGGAGAGGGGCUGGGACAGCACUGGGAGCCAGGAGGGCACCCUCAGGCUCUCCUGGGCAGGAUGGCAGACCCAGGGUGGAGCACAGCUCAGGGGUGGGCCAGCCUGGGGGGUGCCCUGGGUGAAGGCAGAAGUGGUCGGGGUGUGGAGGGAGGAAAAGGCCUGGCUUCGGUCCCGUAGCUUCCCACACGUGACACAAGAGCACGGCUGCCUCUACAGGGCAGGAGGCCCCUUGGGCAAGUCCUGCCCCCCAGCCUGCUGUCCCAGCAGCUGCAAGCAAAGAACUGGCCUCAGGUUCCUGUGUGCAAGUGUGGAGAAGGCUCCCAGGCCCGAAAGGCACCCCUUGCCUGGGCCCAUGUCUGAGGAUGGGGAAGGAGGAAGGAAUCCAAUCCCCCUCUCUUCCCACACCAGCCCUGGGGGGCACCAAGCUCCCACUGCAAGGACGGCAGAUCCCACCAACAGUGGGCUGGUCAGAGGCAGUGGCCCUGCAGGACCCCAGGCACGAGUCUGGUAUGGGGGCAGGUGUGCUCUGGUGCAGCUGGCAGGCCCCAUGAAAGGGUCAUUGGACCAUGCCCCAAGCCCUGCAGGGUGCACCCUGUGCCUCCUGGUGUCCUUGUGGAGUCCCCUCCUCUGCAGCCUGCCAUGAGCUACUCUGCUCCAGCGUCCGAGGCAGUGACAGCGGCACUGCCAUCAGAGACAGCUUCACCUCCUUGUGGGGAGUGGGGACAGGACAGGCUUUGAGUCAGCUCUCAGCCCUGCUGUGCACACCUCAGGGCCCACCUGGAAUGGGUGUGUGGCAUCAGGAAAAACUGCAUUUUUUAAAGGGUGUGCAUCGCACUGUGAUGAAGGCUGCCGCAAUCCUCAUUUUAUUAACCAGAAAACCGGGGCUUACAGGGAUGAGGUCUCGUCCCAGCUAUACAGUGAGGGGGCAAGUGGUUCCGGCUGCCUAAGCUCAGGACUCCACACUGACGGGGCCACACUGUUCCUUCUGGGCCUCGUCCCCCGCCUCUAAGGCCCUCCUGGUGCUGGCCUAGGUCAGGCACAGUGGAGAGGUGGAAGCAGGAGCCUGGCUUGGUCAGAGGGGUGGGGUCAAGGGGGGGCGUUGUCAGCAGGAAUUCCAGCAACUUUCCUCAGGACUGCCGCCUCAGGGGCCUGUCUCAUCCUGUUCUGGGACCCUGGGCCAGGGUGGCUGGAAUGCAGCAGGUCCUGCAUUCUUUUACGCCCUCCUGAGGGUCAGCAGGAAGUGAAGGCCAGGCCAGGGAGGAGAGGCAGGAGAGGGAGCCAGGACCGGGACCGAGGGCGGGGUCAGCCCGGGCAGAGGCACCUGGCUCGAGGCUGUCCUGGGGGAGCUGGCAGCAGCUCCAGCCCUGCCUGGAGGUGGGAGCAGGGAUCUGUAGCCCCACUGCAGGCAGGGCCUGGAGCAGCGCAGGCAGUGCCCUACCCGCUUACUGCAAGAGAAGUCACCCCUCAGGCCUGGGGUCCAGGAAGCCCUUACCCACUAGAGGCCAUCUGGGGUGGGGACCCAGGACUAGGUAACUACCCAGAGGUUGAAUGCCUGGGUCAGACUGAGUUUGCUGAUCUUCCGCACCCUCUAAGUACACACACUCAGGGAGGAGCCCGAGACAAGAGAAGGGAACAGAGAACCCGAAUCCGGGCUUGGGCGGCUGCCGCUUGGCCCCUGUAGCCUCUGUGCCUGCUGACAUGACAGCAAGGAGACAGGUUGUCAGAGGGGCCUGGGAGAGCGAGGGAGGGCCGAGGUAGGGGUUCUUAUCCUGGAGCGCUCCCUCCUUGCCCUCUUUUCCUGUCUGAGUUCUGGAAUGUACUGAUGCAGGGGGCUCUGGCUUGAGCUAGAGGGGGAGGGAGUCCUCCGCAGGGGCUGCAGGUCCAGGGAUUCCCCAGGGCCUGGACUUACAUGUGCCCAUGCUGCAGACAGAGCGGGAAUGGCAAGUGCACCUGCGCCCCCCGCCCCUCCUUACCUCCAGAUGCCUGCUGGAGGGGGAGUUGGGGGUCCAACAGAGUCUGGGGCCAGGAGGGCCUUGUGGGAGCCAGCUGGGGUGAGGACAGAGCCCGGCUCUGAGAGCCCUGGGGCCUAGUAGAGAAGGGGUGCUCCUUCCCCACUCCUCACAUGGGUGGGAAGGCGCCCUCAGGCAAGAAGACUGGGACACAGGUACACUCGCCAGGGACCAUCCUUCACUCUGCAGCCUUUAUUCACUGAUGGGAUUCUGCCCCAGUCCCACCCCCGUGGGGGCAGGAUUUAGAGCAGGAACCGCCCCUCCGGGUCCUUUCCUGGGGCCUGUGCCAGGCUGAGCAGACUCAGGAGGCGUCUCUCCGAGGGUGUGGGCUGUGAUGGGGCCCUGUGCACCCAUCCAGGCUGCCCAGACCAGGAGAGCACAGGUCAGCCGGACACAUGAUGGUGCAUACAAUGGAAUAGGAUUAAUCCGUGAAAAGGAAGAAAUUCUGACACAUGCUCCGGCGUGGAGGAACCUUGAGGACGACGCUGAGUGAAAGAAGCCAGACACGAAAGGACAGAUACGGCAAGACUCGACUUAUGUGAGGUCCCUAGAGGAGUCGGAUUCAUAGAGACUGAAAGGAUGGCGGGCACCAGGGGCGGUGGAGAGGGGAAAUGGGGAGUUACUGUUUAAUGGGGACAGAGUUUCAGUUUUACAAGAUGAAAAGGGUCCUGGAGCUGGAUGGGGGUGACGGCCGCACAACAGCAUGAAUGGACUGAACGCCACUGAAAACUGAACUCUUGAAAAUGGUUAAACUGGCAAAUUUUGUUAUGCAUAUUUUGCCACAAAAAGCAAACAACUCUUCUCCCCAAAAAUAUCUGGGGUGUACUUACACUAAAUAUGUAGGGCAUAUUUACUCUCAACAUUUAUUUCCUUAUUUGAAAUGAAAGUAUUUGGGACACACUGCACUACAAAAUGAUUCAGGGUCUACCUGAAAUUCCCAUGUACCUCGUGUCCUGUCUUUGCAUCCGCUAAGUCCGGCGGCCCUUUGCAGCGUGGGGGUGGGGGGGGGCGCCUGCCGGAAUCACACAGGUCUCCCCACCCGCAGCAGCCCACCACCUUUGGGCACCCAUGCAUGCUUG